rnacentral:rRNA from 1 species
GACGAACGCUGGCGGCGUGCCUAACACAUGCAAGUCAACGGGGUAAGUUUCUUCGGAGAUUACUUAGUGGCGAACGGGUGAGUAACGCGUGAGAAACCUGCCUCUCAGUGGGGGACGAACAGUUGGAAACGACUGCUAAUACCGCAUAACAUAUUCGAAGGGCAUCCUUUGAAUAUCAAAGCUUUAUGUGCUGAGAGAUGGUCUCGCGUCUGAUUAGCUAGAUGGCGGGGUAACGGCCCACCAAGUCGACGAUCGGUAGCCGGACUGAGAGGUUGAUCGGCCACAUUGGGACUGAGACACGGCCCAGACUCCUACGGGAGGCAGCAGUGGGGGAUAUUGCACAAUGGGCGAAAGCCUGAUGCAGCAACGCCGCGUGAGGGAAGAAGGUCUUCGGAUUGUAAACCUUUGUCCUAAGUGAAGAAACAAAUGACGGUAGCUUAGGAGGAAGCCACGGCUAACUACGUG